rnacentral:misc_RNA from 1 species
UGUAGCAACAUUAUACGUCUUUUCCUCAAACAACACUGCAAUUUCCGUAAGUUCCUGUACAUUCUGAUGCCAAAAGACAGGAAAAAUCCUCUGAAUUUCCUCCAAUAUUUGGUUGACAAUCCUUUGACGAGUAUAGGGCGCAUGUCCAAUACGCCAAUCACUGGAAUGCACAUUUCCGGCGGCAGCUCCAGCACCUAAACCACCUUCCCAAGUCUG